CGGGGCUACUGCUCUGUAAUUGGCAUGGGGGCGACCUUCACCCUCGCCCGAGUACCCAUUGGAGGGCAAGUCUGGUGCCAGCAGCCGCGGUAAUUCCAGCUCCAAUAGCGUAUAUUAAACUUGUUGCAGUUAAAAAGCUCGUAGUUGUACUUUAUGUCCCUCGCGUGGUCCUUCCUCGCUAGGACGCCUCGUUACUUUGAGAAAAUUAGAGUGUUUCAAGCAGGUUUCGCCUGUAUAAUUGAGCAUGGAAUAACCUUGUAUGACCCCUGUCGUACCGUUGGUUGACUUUGGGUAAUGGUUAAUAGGAACGGUUGGGGGCAUUCGUACUCGACUGUCAGAGGUGAAAUUCUUAGAUUUGUCGAUGACGCACGACUGCGAAAGCAUUUGCCAAGGACGCUUCCAUUAAUCAAGAAC
rnacentral:rRNA from 1 species